UACGGGGGGGGGCAAGCGUUGUUCGGAAUUACUGGGCGUAAAGGGCUCGUAGGCGGCCAACUAAGUCGGAUGUGAAAUCCCCAGGCUUAACCUGGGAACUGCAUCCGAUACUGGAUGGCUUGAAUCCGGGAGAGGGAUGCAGAAUUCCAGGUGUAGCGGUGAAAUGCGUAGAUAUGCGGAGGAACACCGAUGGCGAAGGCAAUCCCCUGGGCCUGCACUGACGCUCAUGCACGAAAGCGUGGGGAGCAACAGG
rnacentral:rRNA from 1 species